rnacentral:rRNA from 1 species
AAGGGCACCACAAGAACGCGUGGAGCAUGUGGCUUAAUUUGACUCAACGCGGGAAAUCUUACCAGGUCCGGACAUAUUGAGGAUUGACAGGCGAUAGUAAUAUUAUUAUAUAAUAUUGCAUAAAAAUGAUAGUCCUUUCAUGAUUAUAUGAUAGGUGGUGCAUGGCCGUUCUUAGUUCGUGGAGUGAUUUGUCUGCUUAAUUGCGUUUCAGAUAUAUAAUUAUAUAAUAUAUUAUAUAGUAAUAUAUAAUUUAAUAUUGUGCUGCCUUAUAUAUUAUUUAUAAGGAUUUUAAGUGAACAUAUUUUAUUAUACAUAUAUUAUUAUAUAUAUUUAUUAUAUAUUAAAAUGAAUGCAACGAACGUGACCGUAACCUUUUAUUGCUAUAAAUAAUAUAUAUUAUUUAUAUUAUAAUAGCAUAAAAUUAAAGGGACCGCUGUCUAAAUUUUAGUGUUAAAAUAGAGUAAGAUUACGGCAAUAACAGGUCUGUGAUGCCCUCAGAUGUUCUGGGCUGCACACGUGCUACAAUAAUUACAUUAAUAAGUAUCUAUUAUAAUACAUAAUAUGUUUACAUAUUAUAAUAAACCUAUUUCGAAAGUAAAUGGGUAAUCAUUUAAAAAUCGUGAUUAUUUCAUACAUAUGGUAUAUUAAUAUUGUAUAAUACUAUACAUUUUAUAGUACUAUUACAAAUACCAUUAAUUAAUUUAAGGUGGGGAUAGUGUAUUGUUAAUUAUUACACUUGGCCUUAACUAGGAAUGCCUUGUACUCUUCUUUGGUUUAACAUACCAAGAGGAAUACGUCCCUGCCCUUUGUACACACCGCCCGUCGCUCUUACCGAUGAAUUAUAUUAUAAAUCUAAGGGACAUACAUAUUCUGAAAUUGAAUAUAUUGAAACUUAUAUACAUAAUGUGAUUUAAAGGAAAGAGAAGUCGUAACAAGGCAUCAGUAGGUGAACCU